GACGAACGCUGGCGGCGUGCUUAACACAUGCAAGUCGAGCGGUAAGGCCCUUUCCGGGGGUACGACGAGCGGCGAACGGGUGAGUAACACGUGGGUGACCUGCCCUUAGCUCUGGGAUAAGCCUGGGAAACUGGGUCUAAUACCGGAUAUGACUCCAUGACGCAUGUUGUGGGGUGGAAAGCCUUGUGCGGCUAGGGAUGGGCCUGCGG
rnacentral:rRNA from 1 species